CCUAGGGAGGCAGCAGUGGGGAAUAUUGGACAAUGGGCGAAAGCCUGAUCCAGCAAUUCCGCGUGUGUGAAGAAGGCCUUCGGGUUGUAAAGCACUUUAGGUUGGGAAGAAAAAGCUUCGGUGAAUAUCCGGAGUGUUGACGGUACCAACAGAAUAAGCACCGGCUAACUCUGUGCCAGCAGCCGCGGUAAUACAGAGGGUGCAAGCGUUAAUCGGAUUUACUGGGCGUAAAGCGUGCGCAGGUGGUUUCGUAAGUCGGAUGUGAAAGCCCCGGGCUCAACCUGGGAACUGCGUUCGAUACUGCGAGACUAGAGUUUGGUAGAGGGUGGCGGAAUUCCCGGUGUAGCGGUGAAAUGCGUAGAUAUCGGGAGGAACAUCAAUGGCGAAGGCAGCCACCUGGGCCUGAACUGACACUGAGGCACGAAAGCGUGGGUAGCAAACAGGAUUAGAUACCCUGGUAGUCCACGCCGUAAACGAUGAGAACUUGACGUUGGUUCGUUUUACGAAUCGGUGUCGUAGCUAACGCGAUAAGUUCUCCGCCUGGGGAGUACGGCCGCAAGGUUGAAACUUAAAUGAAUUGACGGU
rnacentral:rRNA from 1 species